rnacentral:rRNA from 1 species
GACGAACCGAGCGAACGUUGUUCGGAAUCACUGGGCUUAAAGGGCGCGUAGGCGGGUGCUCAAGUCCGGGGUGAAAUCCUCCAGCUCAACUGGAGAACUGCCUCGGAUACCGGGCGUCUCGAGUGUGGUAGGGGUAUGCGGAACUAUCGGUGGAGCGGUGAAAUGCGUUGAUAUCGAUAGGAACUCCGGUGGCGAAGGCGGCAUACUGGACCACCACUGACGCUGAUGCGCGAAAGCCAGGGGAGCAAACGGG